UACAGAGGGUGCGAGCGUUAAUCGGAAUUACUGGGCGUAAAGGGUGCGUAGGCGGUCUAGUAAGUCGGAUGUGAAAGCCCUGAGCUUAACUUGGGAAUUGCAUUCGAUACUGCAAGACUAGAGUACAAUAGAGGAAAGUGGAAUUCCCGGUGUAGCGGUGAAAUGCGUAGAUAUCGGGAGGAACAUCAGUGGCGAAGGCGACUUUCUGGAUUGAUACUGACGCUGAGGUACGAAAGCGUGGGGAGCAAACAGG
rnacentral:rRNA from 1 species